AAAAUAGAUGUUUAGCUACAGCAUGUUAGCAUGGAUCACAUUUAUAAACAAAGAAAAGCGAAAACGGAAGGAUUUUGGCGUUUUUCAAGCAUCAUGCCCUGGCUUUCCUGGUGUAAACAACGCCAUAUGCGUUUGUGUGCCUCUGCAGAGCCAUAGAAGAAAAGCUGAUUAGUUAUAGAGGAAUAGGACACCCACCCACCCUCCCACCCUACCCCUUGAAGCAUUACAGAUUAUGCAGGACCAAGCAGGAUGACAGUGAGAAAACUGGAGAUGUACUUUUUCAACAAAGUAAAGUGCUGUGCAAAAGAAACCCCAAAGCAGAGAGAAGAUCUAGACUUUUGAAUUCAUAUCUCAUUAUAAAUGUACAAUUUACAAAGACAAUAAGAUUGAUAAAACAUGACUUAGAAAUGAGGACAAUUGAAGAGUGAAUACUGUAUGUAAGACAGAAAAGAUCAAGAUUAUUGCACAAAAAGUAACUAAAUCAGUAAUCUUAAGACAUUUCUCUUUAAAAUCUGAUUGAAAGCUGCAUUUAAGAACAAGUUUUUCACGUUUUUAGUACUUUUCUAGGCACUGCUUUGUAUUAUUUAAAGCUUUUUUAUGUACUUUUUGUCUAUCAUUCUUGUACCUUU